UUCCAGAAGAGGGCAUGCCUCCUUCUUCGAUUUUUUAUCAAAGUCUGAGGAGAGAGGGAGAAAAACUAUUUACAUUAUAUCACAGCCAUAUCAGACAUCAUAAGGCUUUGCUUCGACCUAGUUUCCACAACAGUUUAGAUAACUGUGCCAUAAAGCCUCGAAUGUUUUGAGCAGUAGUCAUCUACAUAAACUAAAUAUUGUUUGUAUGAAGGAGUCCACGAUACGUAUUUUUUUUUUUUUAAACAUAACGAAGAGGAGUAGUGCUGCUAAAACUAAAGCUGUAUGUCGGCUAGCUGUUUAGCAAUGACUAGCUCAAAUCCAGCACACUGGCUAGCACACAGCCGCAUCCGCGUCGCCGGCAAAGUGUUUUAUCACGAGCCGGUGACAAUAACCAGUUCUAUAAAUUGAGCCGAACACGCAAAUGAGCGAAAAAAGUGAAACAGGGCCCAAACGCCGGUAUGUGUCUGUUUGGCUGAACUCCCGCACCACGCACCUGCAGUUCAUCACCACUGACUGCCAUCUGCACCAUAAAUACCCCAUCUCCACCUCCAGAUUGUUGUACAGCCCACAGAGGUCACCUUCCUGUCCCGCUUUGCUCUGAUUUCCACACAGGUGUCACAAACUUGCAUCUUGAAGGAAAAAGGCUGGAAAGCAAAAUUGCAAAUUGAUCGUGACACAAUCUGUAGGAAUGAGGCGGACCUACAGCAUACGAC